UACGUAGGGGGCGAGCGUUGUCCGGAUUCAUUGGGCGUAAAGCGCUUUAAGGCGGUUCGCUAAGUCGGGUGUGAAACCUCCAGGCUCAACCUGGAGACGCCACUCGAUACUGGCGUGACUAGAGUCCGGUAGGGGACCACGGAAUUCCUGGUGUAGCGGUGAAAUGCGCAGAUAUCAGGAGGAACACCAGUGGCGAAGGCGACAUCCUGGACCGGUAUUGACGCUGAGGCGCGAAAGCCAGGGGAGCAAACGGG
rnacentral:rRNA from 1 species